rnacentral:rRNA from 1 species
GAUGAACGCUAGCGGCAGGCUUAAUACAUGCAAGUCGUGGGGCAGCAUGAUGUAGCAAUACAUUGAUGGUGACCGGCAAACGGGGGCGGAACACGUACACAACCUUCCUUUUAGUGGGGAAUAGCCCAGAGAAAAUUGGAUUAAUAACCCAUAACAUAUAGAGAUGGGAUCAUUUUAAUAUUAAAGCUUCCGCGCUAGAAGAUGGGUGUGCUGCUGAUUAGGUAGUUGGCGGGGUAACGGCCCACCAAGGCUACGAUCAGUAGCUGAUGUGAGAACAUGAUCAGCCACACGGGCACUGAGACACGAGCCCGACUCCUACGGGAGGCAGCAGUAAGGAAAAUUGGACAAUGGACGAAAGUCUGAUCCAUCCAUGCCGGGUGAAGGAUUAAGGUCCUCUGGAUUGUAAACUUCUUUUAUUUGGGCCGAAAAAAGAUCAUUCUUGAUCACUUGACGGUACCAGAUGAAUAAGCACCGGCUAACUCCGUGCCAGCCGCCGCAGUAACAC